ACUCCUACGGGAGGCAGCAGUGGGGAAUUUUGCCCAAUGGGGGAAACCCUGACGCAGCAACGCCGCGUGGGGGAUGAAGUCCCUGGGAGUAAAUUCUUUUCGACCGGACGAUAUGAC
rnacentral:rRNA from 1 species